UCCGGCUAGUUGGGUUGCAAAUUAAAGGUUCCGGCGUCUUAGAGAUUGGUGUGCGUCUGAUUAGCUUAGUUGGGCGGGGUAACCGGCCCACCAAGGCGACGAUCAGGUAGGGGGUGUGAGAGCAUGACCCCCCACAUGGGUACUGAGACACGGACCCAACUCCUACGGGAGGCAGCAGUAAGGAAUAUUGGACAAUGGGCGGAAGCCUGAUCCAGCCAUGCCGCGUGAAGGAUGAAGGCGCUCAGCGUUGUAAACUUCUUUUGGAUGGGGACAAUAAUCUCGAUUUAUCGGGACUUGAGGGUACCAUCAGAAUAAGCACCGGCUAACUCCGUG
rnacentral:rRNA from 1 species